rnacentral:rRNA from 1 species
AGAGUUUGAUCAUGGCUCAGAGCGAACGCUGGCGGCGUGCUUAACACAUGCAAGUCGAACGCGCAGCAUUCUGUAGCAAUACAGGGUGUGGGCGCGUGGCGAACGGGUGCGUAACACGUGGAUAACCUUCCUUCAGGUGGGGAAUAACCCAGUGAAAAUUGGGCUAAUACCGCAUAACAAGACGAUGGCACAUGCUGUUGUCUUCAAAGCCGCAAGGCGCCAGAAGAGGGAUCCGCGGCCGAUUAGCUUGUUGGCGAGGUAAUGGCUCACCAAGGCAUUGAUCGGUAGCCGGACUGAGAGGUUGGCCGGCCACACUGGAACUGAGACACGGUCCAGACUCCUACGGGAGGCAGCAGUGGGGAAUCUUGCACAAUGGACGAAAGUCUGAUGCAGCAGCGCCGCGUGGGGGAUGAAGCUUCUCGGAGUGUAAACCCCUUUCGACCCGGAAGAAUGCCCGCAAGGGUUUGACGGUACGGGUAUAAGAAGCCCCGGCUAACUACGUGCCAGCAGCCGCGGUAAUACGUAGGGGGCCAGCGUUGCUCGGAAUUACUGGGCGUAAAGGGUCCGUAGGCGGUGUGGUAAGUCGGGAGUGAAAUCUCUGGGCUUAACCCAGAGGCUGCUUCCGAAACUGCCGUGCUAGAGUGUGAGAGAGGCGAGUGGAAUUACGGGUGUAGCGGUGAAAUGCGUAGAUAUCCGUAGGAACAUCCGAGGCGAAAGGCGGCUCGCUGGAUCACAACUGACGCUGAGGGACGAAAGCUAGGGGAGCAAACAGGAUUAGAUACCCUGGNAGUCCUAGCCCUAAACCAUCAGGACUUGGGGUUUGCCCUGUACGGGGCAAGUCCCGUAGCUAACGCGUUANUCCUGCGCCUGGGGAGUACGGUCGCANACUGAAACUCAAAGGNAUUGACGGGGGCC